rnacentral:rRNA from 1 species
UACGUAGGGGGCAAGCGUUGUCCGGAAUCAUUGGGCGUAAAGAGCGCGUAGGCGGCCCUGUAAGUCCGCUGUGAAAGUCAAGGGCUCAACCCUUGAAUGCCGGUGGAUACUGCAGGGCUAGAGUCCGGAAGAGGCGAGUGGAAUUCCUGGUGUAGCGGUGAAAUGCGCAGAUAUCAGGAGGAACACCGAUGGCGAAGGCAGCUCGCUGGGACGGUACUGACGCUGAGGCGCGGAAAGCGUGGGGGAGCAAACAGG